rnacentral:rRNA from 1 species
CGGAUGAAAGCGGGGGACCUUCGGGCCUCGCGCUAUAGGGUUGGCCGAUGGCUGAUUAGCUAGUUGGUGGGGUAAAGGCCUACCAAGGCGACGAUCAGUAGCUGGUCUGAGAGGACGACCAGCCACACUGGGACUGAGACACGGCCCAGACUCCUACGGGAGGCAGCAGUGGGGAAUUUUGGACAAUGGGCGAAAGCCUGAUCCAGCAAUGCCGCGUGUGUGAAGAAGGCCUUCGGGUUGUAAAGCACUUUUGUCCGGAAAGAAAUCCCUGGCUCUAAUACAGUCGGGGGAUGACGGUACCGGAAGAAUAAGCACCGGCUAACUACGUGCCAGCAGCCGCGGUAAUACGUAGGGUGCGAGCGUUAAUCGGAAUUACUGGGCGUAAAGCGUGCGCAGGCGGUCUGUUAAGACAGAUGUGAAAUCCCCGGGCUCAACCUGGGAACUGCAUUUGUGACUGGCAGGCUAGAGUAUGGCAGAGGGGGGUAGAAUUCCA